UACGUAGGGUGCAAGCGUUAAUCGGAAUUACUGGGCGUAAAGCGUGCGCAGGCGGUUAUGUAAGACAGAUGUGAAAUGCCCGGGCUUAACCUGGGAACUGCAUUUGUGACUGCAUGGCUAGAGUUUGGCAGAGGGGGGUAGAAUUCCACGUGUAGCAGUGAAAUGCGUAGAUAUGUGGAGGAACACCAGUGGCGAAGGCGGCUCACUGGACCGGAACUGACGCUGAGGCGCGAAAGCGUGGGGAGCAAACGGG
rnacentral:rRNA from 1 species